rnacentral:lncRNA from 1 species
CUAAGCGAAAGAUCACCAUAGUCAUGAUAUUCUUCAUGUAUGGCGUCGUGGAUUCGGCGUGAUUGAAGGCGGUUCGAGGAUUCGGGUGCUCGUGGAUUCGAGUGGUGUUCGUGGAUUCGGACGUGUGCGAGGCGUUCGUGGAUUCGAUCGUGUGGGCAUGGACAACCCGGAGGAUUGCGCGAGAUUCAUAGGAGUUUAAGAGAGGUCGAGUCCGUGGAGUCGGUAAUCACCUUGUAAUCUUUUCUCUUAGUAAAUUAUUUUUUCGCGUGUUGGUCCUGUGGGUUUUUU